rnacentral:rRNA from 1 species
AGUGAACGCUGGCGGUAGGCCUAACACAUGCGAGUCGAACGGCAGCACAGAGGAGCUUGCUCCUUGGGUGGCGAGUGGCGGACGGGUGAGGAAUACAUCGGAAUCUACUCUGUCGUGGGGGAUAACGUAGGGAAACUUACGCUAAUACCGCAUACGACCUACGGGUGAAAGCAGGGGACCUUCGGGCCUUGCGCGAUUGAAUGAGCCGAUGUCGGAUUAGCUAGUUGGCGGGGUAAAGGCCCACCAAGGCGACGAUCCGUAGCUGGUCUGAGAGGAUUAUAAGCCACACUGGAACGGAGACACGGUCCAGACUCCUACGGGAGGGAGCAGUGGGGAAUAUUGGACAAUGGGCGCAAGCCUGAUCCAGCCAUACCGCGUGGGUGAAGAAGGCCUUCGGGUUGUAAAGCCCUUUUGUUGGGAAAGAAAUCCAGCUGGCUAAUACCCGGUUGGGAUGACGGUACCCAAAGAAUAAGCACCGGCUAACUUCGUGCCAGCAGCCGCUGUAA